rnacentral:lncRNA from 1 species
UGUUGAUUUUCAAAGUAUGUUUUGUAUUUUCAUCAUAAUAUCAUUACAAUUGUACAACAAUAUAUAAGGAGAUUGACUUUUUGAUUUACACCACAAAGGUGGCUUAGGGAAGACAACCGACCAAAUGGUUUAGGGAAGACAAGCUCCUUGAAUUAAGGAGUUGACACAAAGUUGAUUGACACAAAGUUGUGAUUGACACAAAGUUGACACAAGGUUGAUUGACACAAAGUUGAUUGACACAAAGUUUCUUCCAAUACGCCCCCUCAAGCUAGAUCCAGGAGGUUUAUGGAUCCAAGCUUGGACAGAAGUCGCUGAAACUGAUGAGAAGCCAAAGGCUUUGUGAAGAUGUCGGCCAGUUGGUUGAAGCUUCUUGUAUAGUGUGUCUGAAUCACCUGCGAUUGCACCUGUUCCCUAAUGUAAUGGUUGUCAACUUCAAUGUGUUUCGUUCGCUCGUGAAACACUGGGUUUGAUGCUAUAUGCAUGGCUGCCUGAUUGUCACAAAAUAAGGAUAUAGGAAGAGUUGUAGGAACACCUAAAUCACACAGAAGUCCCUUGAGCCAAAUCAACUCACACGCAGUUGAAGCCAUGGCACGAUACUCAACUUCGACACUUGACCUGGCUAUAACAGUUUGCUUCUUACUUUUCCAUGUGACCAAGUUUCCACCGACAAAGGUAUAGUAGCCAGUUGUGGACUUGCGAUCGAUGGCAUUCCCCACCCAAUUAGCAUCGCAAUAUCCCAUGAUUUGUGUGUUGUCAUUCUUCUGCAUGAGGAUUCCACGACCCACAGAUCCUUUUAAGUAGCGUAAGAUCCUUUUAACAAGGGUCAAAUGCUCAAGAGUCGGGGAGUGCAUGAAUUGGCUCACAAGACUUACAGAAUAUGUGAUGUCGGGUCUAAUGAUUGUUAGGUAGAUUAACUUACCCACCAAUCACUGAUAAUGGUUGAUAUCCGUGAGUGGCGUGCCCUUCAAGCUAGGUUUGUGCUUGCUGUCGAGAUGAGUAAUGGCCGGUUUAGCAUCGCUUAUGUUGGCUUCCUUGAGCAAAUCCAAGACAUACUUUCUUUGGUUAAGAAACAGCCUCUUGUGCGAGGUUGCCACUUCUAUACCAAGGAAGUACUUCAAUAUCCCAAGGUCUUUAAUUGCAAACCUUUGUCUGAGGGACUAUUUGAGGUUGAGGAUCUUGUCAGCAUUAUCACCCGUAAUUAUCAGAUCAUCAACAUAGAUCAGCACAACCAAUUUUCCCACAGCUCAUGUGCGAACAAAUAGUGAUGAAUCGGCAUUGCUGUUUAUGAAACCAACACUAGUGAGAACUGAGCUUAGUUUGGCAUACCAAGCUCAUGGAGACUGUUUCAGGCCAUAAAUGGAUUUGUGCAAUUUUCACACCAAAUUUUGUUCAUUGCUUUGAGGAUGCCCUGGUGGCAAUUUCAUAUAGACCUCUUCUUUGAGAUCUCCGUGCAAGAAUGCAUUCUUCACAUCCAUUUGGUAUAUGGACCAUCCCUUGUUUACUGCCAUGGACAAUAGCACUCUCAAGGUGUUCAUUUGGCAACAAGUGCAAACGUUUCUUUGUAAUCCACCUCGUAUGUUUGAGUGAAUCCCCGAGCUACCAAUCUUGCUUUAUGCCUCUCAAUUGAUCCAUCUGACUUGAAUUUGAGUUUAUAAAUCCAUUUGCAACCCACAGCUUUCUUGCCUAUGGCAAGUUUGGUGAUACGCCAGGUGUUGUGUUGAUCUAGAGCUUUAAGUUCUUCUUGCAUUGCUUCCUUCCAAACCUCUUGGUUGUUGGCCUCAUGGAAAUUCUAAGGCUCAUUGUAACUUGAUAUGGUGCUUAGGAAUGUAGCAUGGGCUGGUGUCACUCUUGUACGACACACAUUGGGAGAUGGGAUGUGUGGGUUUGUAGAUGACAAAGUCUUGAAGUCUUGUGGGAGUUUUCCUAACACGCAUUGGAUUGUGUCGAGGAGCAGGAAGAGUUGUCUCACACUCGUUCACAUUUUGGACCGUAUUGUGAGGGUCAUCUUGAUUAUCACCAUUUUCAUGUCGUGUACCAUCAGAGUGAGACACUUCAUUGCUACUUUCAUUGAGAGAUGCAUCAAUGUUGACAUGACUGGGAUCUUGUUGUUAAGGAGCCUCAAGUUCGAUUCUUGGUAGUGGGAACACAUCCAAGAUGUCAUCCUCUUGACUUGUGAUUUCAUGUGACUUGCUGAAAAAAAGGAUUAGUUUCAUGGAAUCAAACAUCUUUGGACACAAUCAAUCUUCUUAGUUGAGGCUUAUAACACUUAUAUCUUUUUUUUGUCUAUGAAUAAACAAGAAAAAUACAUUUAACAGCUCUACGAUCCAAUUUAUCUCGGUGAUGAGAUUGAAUAUGCACAAAACAUAUGCAGCCAAAAACUCAAAGGUGUGAGAGAUCAAUUUUACUUCCUUUCAUGACCUCUAGGGGAGACUUGAAAUCCAAGACUCGGCUGGGUAAUCUAUUGAUGAUAUAAGCAGCUGCCAUAACCCCUUGGGACCAAAAUUUCUUUGGUACAUUCAUUUGUAGCAUUAGUGCUCUUGUUUUUUCAAGUAAGUCACAGUUUUUGCGUUCGGCUACACCAUUUUGUUGAGGUGUGCCAACACAACUUGUUUGAUGCAUGAUGCCAUGAGUGCUUAAAUAUUGUUUCAUGAUAUGGGACAUAUAUUCGGUGCCAUUGUCAGACCUUAAGGUUUGAAUUUGAGAGGAGAAAUGGUUUUUAACAAGGUUAUGAAAGUCCUUAAAUACUUCCAUAACUUCAUUCUUAGACUUUAGAAGAUACAACCACGUGACUCAAGAGAAAUCAUCAACAAAGAUCACAAAAUACUUAUAACCAUUAAAAGAUUCACUAGUUGGUCCCCAUACAUCUGAAUGAACUAGUUUAAAACACUUACUAGCCCUGGACAAGGAAAAGUUAAAAGAUAAUCUAGUGGCCUUAGACAAGUGGCAUGUUUCACAUGAAAUAGCAUCCUUCCCUAAGUUUGGAAAUAAAGUUGACAAAAUGGGUGGAGAAUGGUGAGCUAAACGUUGAUGCCACAAUUGAUUAUCUUGAAUGAGAUUGAACUUGGCUUGGAAUCCUCUGGGAUUGCUUUUUGAUAUGUAAUAGAGACCUUCUAAAUAAAACCCUUCACCAAUCGUCUUCUUGGUGGCACAAUCCUAAAAGAUGACAUUGUGAGGAGAAAAUAUAGCUAAGCAAUUCAAGGUAUUUGUGAUCUUUCCCACAGAUAGAAGUUGAAAUGGGAAGGAAGGUACAUACAAAGCCAUUGAUUCAAUUUCAUCUGACAUUAUUUUUAUUUUUUCCUUUCCUAAAACCUUUACACUUUCACCAUUUGCAAUUGAAACUUGGGAAGGAUUAGUGAAUUUUUCAAACUUUUGAGACUUAGACACAUGGUUAGUCAUAUGAUCUGUGGCACCCGAAUCUACAACCCAAAAAUCAUGCAACAUAUUUAUUUUAAGAGCAGUUUUAAAGGCUUUCAUGAUACCUUGCAUGUUCUCUUGGGGUACGGGUUUCGUGUCUGCCAAGAAACCCGCAAACUUGCCGAGCAAUGUCGUCGUGUUCCCUUUUCCUAUGCUGUCUGCACGGUCAAUUCCAGCCUCUCCUUUCUUGCCUUGAAUGUAAGACAUAAACUCAUUCAUGAGUUCAGUUGGAUUCGCUGUGAAGUUCUUGAAUUGAUCAGACCCAUUAGAGUUGGAGGCAGACGCAUGAUUUGCUCGAUGUGUAGUACGAUUCACCCUUUGUAAACCCUUGUUGUCCUUCAUGAAGUCAGGCUUUAAUUCUGGGUGUAAAAUCCAGCAUGUGUCUUUAACAUGACCUAUAUUGUUGCAGUGUUGACACUUCAAGUUCGAAUGUUUCCUUUGUACUUUCUCUCGUUGGUUAGAUAGACCCUAGCCUCAGGUACACUGGCCAUUAUACCCAUGUUCAUGACUUUCCUCCUUACUUCUUCACGUUGGAUUGUUGCACAUACACUGGUGAAGGAAGUUCAGUGUUCAUGAGUAUGUGACAUCGUAAAUCUUCAUACGUUGAAUCGAGACUGGACAAGAGGCGAAAUAUCUUGUCUUCUUCUGCUUUCUUUCGUAGCAAUGCUGCAUCGGUUGUAUGAGGGCGAUAAAUUUCCAACUCAUUCCACAUGUUUUUCAUGCUUCCUAGGAGUUGCACAAACGGCUUGCCGUCUUGUUGCAGAUCGGAGAUGUCCUUCUUUAAUUGGAAAACCCUUGCAGCAUUGUUCUGGCUGUCAUACAUUUCGUUGACCGCCUCCCAUAGCUGGUAUGAAGAUUCAGAGUAACUGAAUAUUUCAGUUAAUUUCCGUUCCAUGGAAUUCAGGAGCCAUGACAUAACUAGCUGAUCCUUGUUAAGCCAGGAUUCAUAGGUUGGUGAGGAAGCAUCAGGUAUUUUGAUGCUUCCAUUUAUGAACCCUAACUUGGACCUUCCACAUAGAGCCAGAGGCACUGCUCUCGACCAAGGCAAGUAAUUAAACUCAUUCAACACGACUGAGCUUAAUCUUUGAUUUGGGUUGACAUCCACCUCAUGCACAUUCAUGGAGGAAAUCACAUGUGCACUUUCAGCUUCUAAUCCUAACGAAUUGUCUUCGGUCAUUUUGAAGAUUGAACACGCUCGCUCGGAUAGUAGUACAGCAGAGGCAGGUUAGAUUUCCUGCUCUAAUACCACGUUGAUUUUCAAAGUAUGUUUUGUAUUUUCAUCAUAAUAUCAUUACAAUUGUACAACAAUAUAUAAGGAGAUUGACUCCUUGAUUUACACCACAAAGGUGGCUUAGGGAAGACAACCGACCAAAUGGUUUAGGGAAGACAAGCUCCUUGAAUUAAGGAGUUGACACAAAGUUGAUUGACACAAAGUUGUGAUUGACACAAGAUUGAUUGACACAAAGUUGUGAUUGACACAAAGUUGCUUCCAAUAGAAGUCAUGAGUGAUCAUUGGUCUGGUGCUUUGGGUGAAACCAAUUCCCAAGGUGUGUACAGGGGAUACAUAUUCACCGCAGCAUAACUAGCAUUUUCAACUUCAUGUUGCCAAGUUGCAAAGAACAAUCCAAAAUAAGGCAACCUAUUUCAGGAUUCGCCCCGCCUUACAAACUUGCUUCCCAUUGUUAUUGUCAUUAUAUAUUAAAAGUUAAUAUGAUUUGUGUUGCACUAACAAAUCAUUUUUUUUAAUUAUGCAG